UACGGAGGGGGCAAGCGUUUGUUCGGAAUUACUGGGCGUAAAGGGCGCGCAGGCGGCUGCUCAAGUCAGGCGUGAAAGGCCUGGGCUCAACCCGGGAAUUGCGCUUGAGACUGGGCUGGCUUGAGUGCGGGAGAGGAUGGUGGAAUUCCCAGUGUAGAGGUGAAAUGCGCAGAUAUCAGGAGGAACACCGGUGGCGAAGGCGGGACUCUGGGCCGAUACUGACGCUGAGGAGCGAAAGCGUGGGGAGCGAACAGG
rnacentral:rRNA from 1 species